GGGGGAUAACCAUUGGAAACGAUGGCUAAUACCGCAUGAUGCCUACGGGCCAAAGAGGGGGACCUUCGGGCCUCUCGCGUCAGGAUAUGCCUAGGUGGGAUUAGCUAGUUGGUGAGGUAAGGGCUCACCAAGGCGACGAUCCCUAGCUGGUCUGAGAGGAUGAUCAGCCACACUGGAACUGAGACACGGUCCAGACUCCUACGGGAGGCAGCAGUGGGGAAUAUUGCACAAUGGGCGCAAGCCUGAUGCAGCCAUGCCGCGUGUGUGAAGAAGGCCUUCGGGUUGUAAAGCACUUUCAGUCGUGAGGAAGGUAGUGUAGUUAAUAGCUGCAUUAUUUGACGUUAGCGACAGAAGAAGCACCGGCUAACUCCGUGCCAGCAGCCGCGGUAAUACGGAGGGUGCGAGCGUUAAUCGGAAUUACUGGGCGUAAAGCGCAUGCAGGUGGUUUGUUAAGUCAGAUGUGAAAGCCCGGGGCUCAACCUCGGAAUUGCAUUUGAAACUGGCAGACUAGAGUACUGUAGAGGGGGGUAGAAUUUCAGGUGUAGCGGUGAAAUGCGUAGAGAUCUGAAGGAAUACCGGUGGCGAAGGCGGCCCCCUGGACAGAUACUGACACUCAGAUGCGAAAGCGUGGGGAGCAAACAGGAUUAGAUACCCUGGUAGUCCACGCCGUAAACGAUGUCUACUUGGAGGUUGUGGCCUUGAGCCGUGGCUUUCGGAGCUAACGCGUUAAGUAGACCGCCUGGGGAGUACGGUCGCAAGAUUAAAACUCAAAUGAAUUGACGGGGGCCCGCACAAGCGGUGGAGCAUGUGGUUUAAUUCGAUGCAACGCGAAGAACCUUACCUACUCUUGACAUCCAGAGAACUUUCCAGAGAUGGAUUGGUGCCUUCGGGAACUCUGAGACAGGUGCUGCAUGGCUGUCGUCAGCUCGUGUUGUGAAAUGUUGGGUUAAGUCCCGCAACGAGCGCAACCCUUAUCCUUGUUUGCCAGCGAGUAAUGUCGGGAACUCCAGGGAGACUGCCGGUGAUAAACCGGAGGAAGGUGGGGACGACGUCAAGUCAUCAUGGCCCUUACGAGUAGGGCUACACACGUGCUACAAUGGCGCAUACAGAGGGCGGCCAACUUGCGAAAGUGAGCGAAUCCCAAAAAGUGCGUCGUAGUCCGGAUUGGAGUCUGCAACUCGACUCCAUGAAGUCGGAAUCGCUAGUAAUCGUGGAUCAGAAUGCCACGGUGAAUACGUUCCCGGGCCUUGUACACACCGCCCGUCACACCAUGGGAGUGGGCUGCAAAAGAAGUAGGUAGUUUAACCUUCGGGGGGACGCUUACCACUUUGUGGUUCAUGACUGGGGUGAAGUCGUAACAAGGUAGCGCUAGGGGAACCUGGCGCUGGAU
rnacentral:rRNA from 1 species